CGCUGGCGGCGUGCCUAAUACAUGCAAGUCGAGCGGAAUGAUGAAGAAGCUUGCUUCUUCUGAUUUUAGCGGCGGACGGGUGAGUAACACGUGGGCAACCUACCUUGUAGAUUGGGAUAACUCCGGGAAACCGGGGCUAAUACCGAAUAAUCCAUUUUUGCUUCAUGGCGAGAUGUUAAAAGGCGGCUUCGGCUGUCACUACGAGAUGGGCCCGCGGCGCAUUAGCUAGUUGGUAGGGUAAUGGCCUACCAAGGCGACGAUGCGUAGCCGACCUGAGAGGGUGAUCGGCCACACUGGGACUGAGACACGGCCCAGACUCCUACGGGAGGCAGCAGUAGGGAAUCUUCCACAAUGGACGAAAGUCUGAUGGAGCAACGCCGCGUGAGUGAAGAAGGUUUUCGGAUCGUAAAACUCUGUUGUAAGGGAAGAACACGUACGAGAGUAACUGCUCGUACCUUGACGGUACCUUAUUAGAAAGCCACGGCUAACUACGUG
rnacentral:rRNA from 1 species